GUCAAAGUCCAGGCACAGUAUCAAACACAGAGUGGCAGAUUAGUAGCAAACAUAUCCAAAUGAGGGACAAAUGGGAAUAUCCAAAUAAACAGGCAAAAGGCUGGGCACGUUAUCCUGCUGAAAGAGGCCACUGCCAUUAGGGAUUACCAUGAAGAGGUGUACUUGGUCUGCAACAAUGUUCAGUUAGACGCUACAUGUCAAAGUAACACCAGCAUGAAUGCCAGUACCCAAGGCUUCUCAGCAGAACAUUGCCCGGAGCAUCACACUUCCUCCACUGGCUUGCCUUCUUCCCAUAGUGCAUGUUGAUGCCUCUUCCCCAUGGUCACGUGAAACCUGGAGCCUAUCCCAGGGAGCAUCGGGUACAAGGCGGGGUACACCCUGGACAGGGCGCCAGUCCAUCGCAGGGCACAAACACAUACACACUCACACACCCAUUCAUACACUACGGACACUUUAGACAUGCCAAUCAGCCUACCAUGCAUGUCUUUGGACUGGGAGAGGAAACGAGAGUACCCGGAGGAAACCCCCGCAGCACGGGGAGAACAUGCAAACUCCGCACACACAU
ensembl:lncRNA